GGGCGGGAGCGUCAGGCGCACCCAGAAACCCUUUGUGAACUUAUACCUUACUGUUGCCUCGGCGCAUGCCGGCCCCCCUUGGGGGCCCCUCCUUCUGGAGGAGCAGGCACGCCGGCGGCCAACCUAACUCUUGUUUUUACACUGAAACUCUGAGAAUAAAACAUAAAUGAAUCAAAACUUUCAACAACGGAUCUCUUGGUUCUGGCAUCGAUGAAGAACGCAGCGAAAUGCGAUAAGUAAUGUGAAUUGCAGAAUUCAGUGAAUCAUCGAAUCUUUGAACGCACAUUGCGCCCUCUGGUAUUCCGGAGGGCAUGCCUGUUCGAGCGUCAUUUCAACCCUCAAGCCUGGCUUGGUGAUGGGGCACUGCUUUUACCCAAAAGCAGGCCCUGAAAUUCAGUGGCGAGCUCGCCAGGACCCCGAGCGCAGUAGUUAAACCCUCGCUUUGGAAGGCCCUGGCGGUGCCCUGCCGUCAAACCCCCAACUUCUGAAAAUUUGACCUCGGAUCAGGUAGGAAUACCCGCUGAACUUAAGCAUAUCAAUAAGGCCGGAGGACAUUGCUGGAACGCACCAGGCCACCAGAAACCUUUGUGAACUUAUACUUACUGUUGCUGGCCAUGCCGGCCCCCUUUGGGGGCCCUCCUUCUGGAGGAGCGGCAGCGGCGGCAACCUAACUCUUGUUUUUCACUGAAACUCUGAGAAUAAAACAUAAAGAAAUCAAACUUUCAACGGAUCUCUUGGUUUCUGGCAUCAGAAAAACGCGCAAAAUGCAUAAGUAAUGUGAAAUUGCAGAAAUUCAUGAAAUCAUCAAAUCUUUGUAGCUUGUCUGGGUAUUCGAGGCAGCUGUUGCAGCUAUUUCACCUCAGCUCGGCUGGUGGAUGGGGGACUGUCUUUUUUCAAACAGGCCUGAAAUUUCAGUGGGGCAGACUGCCGGGACCUACGCAGUAAUUAUCUUCCUUUGGAAGGCCGGCGAGGCCUCGCGUCACCCCAACUUUCAGAAUUUUUACUCU
rnacentral:rRNA from 1 species